rnacentral:rRNA from 1 species
UACAGAGGGUGCGAGCGUUAAUCGGAAUUACUGGGCGUAAAGCGUGCGUAGACGGUUAUGUAAGUCAGGUGUGAAAGCCCCGGGCUCAACCUGGGAAUUGCAUUUGAGACUGCAUAGCUAGGGUGCGGAAGAGGGAAGCGGAAUUUCCGGUGUAGCGGUGAAAUGCGUAGAUAUUGGAAGGAACAUCAGUGGCGAAAGCGGCUUCCUGGUCCAGCACCGACGUUCAGGCACGAAAGCGUGGGGAGCAAACAGG